UACAGAGGGGGCAAGCGUUGUUCGGAAUUACUGGGCGUAAAGGGCGCGUAGGCGGCCUGUUAAGUCGAACGUGGAAUCCCCGGGCUCAACCCGGGAACUGCGUCCGAUACUGGCAGGCUUGAAUCCGGGAGAGGGAUGCGGAAUUCCAGGUGUAGCGGUGAAAUGCGUAGAUAUCUGGAGGAACACCGGUGGCGAAGGCGGCAUCCUGGACCGGCAUUGACGCUGAGGAGCGAAAGUGUGGGGAGCGAACAGG
rnacentral:rRNA from 1 species